GCUCGAGUGGCGAAAUCAGGUAUACGCGACAGACUCAAAAUCUGUUGCCCGUGAGGGUAUGCGGGUUCGAUUCCCGCCUCGAGCA
rnacentral:tRNA from 1 species